GCGGCAACAGCUCAAAUUUGAAAUCUGGCGCAAGCCCGAGUUGUAAUUUGUAGAGGAUGCUUCUGGGUAGCGGCCGGUCUAAGUUCCUUGGAACAGGACGUCAUAGAGGGUGAGAAUCCCGUAUGUGACUGGCUUGCACCCUCCACGUAGCUCCUUCGACGAGUCGAGUUGUUUGGGAAUGCAGCUCUAAAUGGGAGGUAAAUUUCUUCUAAAGCUAAAUACCGGCCAGAGACCGAUAGCGCACAAGUAGAGUGAUCGAAAGAUGAAAAGCACUUUGGAAAGAGAGUUAAAAAGCACGUGAAAUUGUUGAAAGGGAAGCGCCCGCAACCAGACUUUGCGGCAGCGUUCGGCCGGUCUUCUGACCGGUUUACUCGCUGUCGUGAGGCCAUCAUCGUCUGGGACCGCUGGAUAAGACCCGGGGAAUGUAGCUCCCCUCGGGGAGUGUUAUAGCCUCUGGUGAUGCAGCGCGUCUCGGGCGAGGUCCGCGCUUCGGCAAGGAUGAUGGCGUAAUGGUUGUCGGCGGCCCGUCUUGAAACACGGACCAAGGAGUCUAACAUCUAUGCGAGUGUUCGGGUGUCAAACCCCUACGCGUAAUGAAAGUGAACGGAGGUGGGAACUUUUUGUGCACCAUCGACCGAUCCUGAUGUCCUCGGAUGGAUUUGAGUAAGAGCAUAGCUGUUGGGACCCGAAAGAUGGUGAACUAUGCCUGAAUAGGGUGAAGCCAGAGGAAACUCUGGUGG
rnacentral:rRNA from 1 species